rnacentral:rRNA from 1 species
UGUGGUGGGGCUAGAGAGAGGGUCAUACCCAGUCCCAUUCCGAACCUGGAAGUCAAGCCUCUCAUCGCCGAUAAUACUGCCGGCUACGCUGGUGGGAAUGUAGGUCGCUGCCACAU